rnacentral:rRNA from 1 species
GAUGAACGCUGGCGGCGUGCUUAACACAUGCAAGUCGAGCGGUAAGGCCCCCUUCGGGGGGUACACGAGCGGCGAACGGGUGAGUAACACGUGGGCAAUCUGCCCUCCACUUCGGGACAACUCGGGGAAACCCGAGCUAAUACCGGAUACUUCGAUCGGGUCGCAUGGCCUGAUCGAGAAAGCUCCGGCGGUGGAGGAUGAGCCCGCGGCUGAUUAGCUAGUUGGUGAGGUAACGGCUCACCAAGGCGACGAUCAGUAGCCGAGCUGAGAGGCUGACCGGCCACACUGGGACUGAGACACGGCCCAGACUCCUACGGGAGGCAGCAGUGGGGAAUCUUGCGCAAUGGGCGAAAGCCUGACGCAGCAACGCCGCGUGCGGGAUGAAGGCUCUCGGGUCGUAAACCGCUUUCAGCAGGGACGAAAUCGGACGGUACCUGCAGAAGAAGCCCCGGCUAAAUACGUGCCAGCAGCCGCAGUAAUAC